GCCAAAGAAGCUAAUAAAUCUCAUCGUGACAGGAUUCAAGGUUUCAACCAGUAUUUGGCGAACAUGAGCGAGCAUUAUGACAUUCCUAAAGUUGGCCCAGGCUAAAAUUCUAAAAGAUCCACCAUCUGCUGCUCAAUGGAUGAAGUUAAGCUUUCAUAUAUAAGCUUCUCUAGCAAAUUAAGGAAAAGCAAGGACACUUCUCAUUCAAAUUCUCCUCGGUUGUAUUUGAAAUUUCGUAGUUAUAUGCUGUGUGGCAUAUUUCUUA
rnacentral:misc_RNA from 1 species